AGGACGAACGCUGGCGGCAUGCCUAAUACAUGCAAGUCGAACGAACACUUCGGUGUUAGUGGCGCACGGGUGCGUAACGCGUGGGAAUCUGCCCUUGGGUUCGGAAUAACAGUUGGAAACGACUGCUAAUACCGGAUGAUAUCGAAAGAUCAAAGAUUUAUCGCCCAGGGAUGAGCCCGCGUAGGAUUAGCUAGUUGGUGAGGUAAAGGCUCACCAAGGCGACGAUCCUUAGCUGGUCUGAGAGGAUGAUCAGCCACACUGGGACUGAGACACGGCCCAGACUCCUACGGGAGGCAGCAGUAGGGAAUAUUGGACAAGUGGGCGCAAGGCCUGAUCCAGCAAUGCCGCGUGAGUGAUGAAGGCCUUAGGGUUGUAAAGCUCGUUUUACCCGAGAUGAUAAUGACAGUAUCGGAGAAUAAGCCCCGGCUAACCUCCGUGCCAGC
rnacentral:rRNA from 1 species